rnacentral:rRNA from 1 species
AGCGAACGCUGGCGGCGUGCUUAACACAUGCAAGUCGUGCGAGAAAGGGGGGGCAACCCCCUGAGUAGAGCGGCAGACGGGUGAGUAACACGUGGGUAACCUACCCUCGAGUGGGGAAUAACCCCGCGAAAGCGGGGCUAAUACCGCAUAACAUCUCCGGGCCUUCGGUCCUGGAGAUCAAAGCUUGCCUCUGCAUGCAAGCUGGCGCUUGAGGUGGGGCCCGCGGUCGAUUAGCUAGUUGGUAGGGUAACGGCCUACCAAGGCGACGAUCGAUAGCCGGCCUGAGAGGGUGACCGGCCACACUGGAACUGAGACACGGUCCAGACUCCUACGGGAGGCAGCAGUGAGGAAUCUUGGGCAAUGGGCGAAAGCCUGACCCAGCGACGCCGCGUGGAUGAUGAAGGCCUUCGGGUCGUAAAAUCCUGUCGAGAGGGAAGAAAUGGCUUUCCGUUAACAGCGGAAGGCCCUGACUGUACCUCUGGAGGAAGCCCCGGCUAACUCCGUGCCAGCCGCCGCGGUAACAC